AUUGAACGCUGGCGGCAGGCCUAACACAUGCCAGUCGAGCGGAUGAAGGGAGCUUGCUCCUGGAUUCAGCGUCGGACGGGUGAGUAAUGCCUAGGAAUCUGCCUGGUAGUGGGGGAUAACGUCCGGAAACGGGCGCUAAUACCGCAUACGUCCUGAGGGAGAAAGUGGGGGAUCUUCGGACCUCACGCUAUCAUAUGAGCCUAGGUCGGAUUAGCUAGUUGGUGGGGUAAAGGCCUACCAAGGCGACGAUCCGUAACUGGUCUGAGAGGAUGAUCAGUCACACUGGAACUGAGACACGGUCCAGACUCCUACGGGAGGCAGCAGUGGGGAAUAUUGGACAAUGGGCGAAAGCCUGAUACAGCCAGGCCGCGUGUGUGAGGAAGGUCUUCGGAUUGUAAAGCACUUUAAGUUGGGAGGAAGGGCAGUAAGUUAAUACCUUGCUGUCUUGACGUUACCAACAGAAUAAGCACCGGCUAACUUCGUG
rnacentral:rRNA from 1 species